GGUUUUGUAGUGUAGUGGUGAUCACUCCGGAUUUUGAAGUUUUCCGCCUGUGUGAAGGCCUGGAUAAACGAAGGAAACCUUCCGGCAACCCCGGUUCGAACCCGGGCAAGACCU
rnacentral:tRNA from 1 species